AUAUAUAUAUAUAGAGCAAGGCUGCUGUGCUCUAAGGAGCACGGAGGCCUCCGUGCUCUUGAGCCGUUUUCGAUGAUAAAAUUUUCGAAUCGACGAUUGGCUCUGUUAGACUUGAACUAGCGCAUUUGAAGUUUCUAGAAAUGUGACACCCCAAUAGUCCCACAUCGAAUAGGAAUGGGGUUGUCAUUGGGUUUAUAAGAGACUUAGACACUAGUAAUAAUAACUGGGCUUAAGCAUUUUGGGCCGGUGGUUGGGCUCAACGAGUUAUUGUUGCUAGUGGGCUGGAUCGUUACAUUUGGUAUCAGAGCCGGUUCACCAGCUGGACAUGCGUGACGAGUCUCGGCUGAGCCAGGGUCUGGAUGACGGGCUAGCGAGACGAGUCUCACAUCGCCUGGUGAUCUUGGGCUGUGUGUGUGAUUGGACUGACGAGGACGUCAGGGCCUUAACGGGGAGAGUCUGUAACACCCCAAUAGUCCCACAUCGAAUAGGAAUGGGGUUGUCAUUGGGUUUAUAAGAGACUUAGACACUAGUAAUAAUAACUGGGCUUAAGCAUUUUGGGCCGGUGGUUGGGCUCAACGAGUUAUUGUUGCUAGUGGGCUGGAUCGUUACAAGAAAAUAAUUUUUGCGAUUUUUUUAUAUCAUUUACGUGGUGAUCGAAAGGAUUCAAAAUCCAUAAUUUUUAAUAGUUGAUAUCUGUCGUUUUCAAGUUUCACAGUGUAGAAGUAUUCAAAUCAGAUGAAAUUUUGAUACAAAAUUCUUUAUACUAUUUACAACAAGAUCAAUAUUUCUGAUCGAAAAUUUUAGUGUUAUAUCACCACUUUUUAUAUGAUUUUUAUUUUCAGCCGUUAAAAAUUAUUGAUUUUGAAUCUUUUCGAUUGCUAGGUAAAUGAUAUCAAAAAAUUACAAAAAUUAUUUUCUAGAAACUUCAAAUACGCUAGAUCAAGUCUAACGGAGUCGAUUGUGGAUUCAAAAAUUCCAUCAUCGAAAAUGGCUCAGGAGCACGGAGGCCUCCGUGCUCCUGAGAGCACAGCAGUCCUGCUCUCUCUCUCUCUCUCUCUCUCUCUCUCUAUAUAUAUAUAUAUAUAUAUAUGAUUUCGGCUACUAUACUAUUAUGAGUACGAUCACCCUCGUACUCAUAAGUUGUUUUCGAUGAUAGACUUUUCGAAUCGACGAUUCUUACCGUCAAACAUUAUCUAGAGCAUUUAAAUCUUCUAGAAAUCAAAUUUCAUAAUUUUUCAACAUCAUUUACCUUACGAUCAAAAGGUCACAAAAUUGACAAUAUUUUAACGGCCGGUAUGAGAUACUUGCUAGUUUUACAGUGUAAAAGAAUCGGAAUAUAUCGGUUGAAUUUUUAAUAGAAAAUUCUAUUCACUAUCUAGAUAAAAGAUCAAUAACUUCGAUCUUAAAUUGAAGGAUCCGAUCAUCCAUUUUUAGGACGUCGUUCGAUUUCGAUCGUUCAUUUUAUACCCGCUUGAUGGACUUUAUUAUGAUUUUAAAAAUUACGAAAUUUAUUUUUUAAAAGUUUCAAAUACUCUAGAUCAUAUUAAACGGAGUGGAUCGUCGAUUCGGAAGUCCCAUCAUCGAAAACAACUUAUGAGU
rnacentral:lncRNA from 1 species